AAUCCUCAAAAUCCUCUUCUUUGAGGAUUUUUGGACUUGGAGGUUUAAUGCUCGCUUUCGCGUUCGAAGGCGAGCUCCUCUCAAAAGAAUCAGUGGGGUCUGCUUUGCUGGUCCUUGACGUGAUAAGAUGUUUCUACGUUUCGGAUUCGGCAUCGUCCCCGCUUCCAAUCGUCCCAUGGACAACGAUGGUGCUUUCGGUCGCCGCCACCCUACGUUGGCGGGAGGCCGGACCCACGAAACGAA
rnacentral:misc_RNA from 1 species